rnacentral:rRNA from 1 species
UACGUAGGGGGCAAGCGUUGUCCGGAAUCAUUGGGCGUAAAGCGCGUGUAGGCGGUUCAGUAAGUCUGCUGUGAAAGUCCGGGGCUCAACCCUGGGAUGCCGGUGGAUACUGCUGGGCUAGAGUACGGAAGAGGCGAGUGGAAUUCCCGGUGUAGCGGUGAAAUGCGCAGAUAUCGGGAGGAACACCAGAGGCGAAGGCGGCUACCUGGACAAUUGCUGACGCUCAGGCACGAAAGCGUGGGGAGCAAAAGGG